GACGAACGCUGGCGGCGUGCUUAACACAUGCAAGUCGAACGGAAAGGCCCUUCGGGGUACUCGAGUGGCGAACGGGUGAGUAACACGUGGGUGAUCUGCCCUGCACUUUGGGAUAAGCCUGGGAAACUGGGUCUAAUACCGAAUAGGACCGCGCGCUUCAUGGUGUGUGGUGGAAAGCUUUUGCGGUGUGGGAUGGGCCCGCGGCCUAUCAGCUUGUUGGUGGGGUAAUGGCCUACCAAGGCGACGACGGGUAGCCGGCCUGAGAGGGUGACCGGCCACACUGGGACUGAGAUACGGCCCAGACUCCUACGGGAGGCAGCAGCGGGGAAUAUUGCACAAUGGGCGCAAGCCUGAUGCAGCGACGCCGCGUGAGGGAUGACGGCCUUCGGGUUGUAAACCUCUUUCACCAGGGACGAAGCGCAAGUGACGGUACCUGGAGAAGAAGCACCGGCCAACUACGUG
rnacentral:rRNA from 1 species